GUGUCAGCAGCCGCGGUAAGACGAACCGUGCGAACGUUGUUCGGAAUCACUGGGCUUAAAGGGCGCGUAGGCGGGCGAUCAAGUCCGGGGUGAAAGCUUUCGGCUCAACCGGAAAAGGGCCUCGGAUACUGAUCGCCUUGAGGGAGGUAGGGGCAAGCGGAACUUCCGGUGGAGCGGUGAAAUGCGUUGAUAUCGGAAGGAACGCCGGUGGCGAAAGCGGCUUGCUGGACCUCUGCUGACGCUGAGGCGCGAAAGCCAGGGGAGCGAACGGGAUUAGAAACCCCCGUAGUCC
rnacentral:rRNA from 1 species